GUAUGUCCAAGAGCAGAGCAUUGUUUUUCGUCUAGUACAGGCUUUUUAGAAAAUCCAUGCUCAUGUUAUAAAGGACCACCAUACCGGUUUGCACUUAAUCGGAUGAGAAGUAUUCAUUCGAGAUGGUUUCGAUUAAAAUUUCUAUACGGUAAUAAUACAUUAAUCGCACAGAGCAACACCUUUAACCGUCAAAUUGAACCAGAAAACUGGAAUCCUCUAAGUCCACAGCCAUCAAGUGCAGGAUACCAUCGAAUGCAAGCAGAAUCAACCCUUGUUCAGACGGGCGUUGUGUUUGCUGUCCUACUUUCUGCAACCAGGUUCUAGUAAAGCUCUGAGGGAAACAGCGGACUUGAAUGUUUGAAAACAAUCCAAAUUAAAAUAAUUUUAGCUUGACACAAUCUGUGAUCAACUAGUUUUAAAUCAGACUUCCCAUCCAUUGAUGCCGAUGAUUUGUUUUAUGUUAACAAAUACAUUUUUAUUAUAAUCAUUUUUAUUGCAAGCCAAUACUAGAAGUUGUACACAUUUAAAAGUAGGCUUAAUUAUUUUCUUUAAAGAUAGUAUCCCCUGAAUAAUUUUUUAAGGAGGUGAUAAUUUACAUUAAGUAGAGCUUUAGAAGUGGAUAACUCUCUUGGCUCUUCUUUCUCGCAUUCUUCAAUAUUUCCCAAUUAAAU